CGAGGGGUAGCAGGACCUAGCAAUAGGUUGCUGACGACCGGCGCACGGGUGAGUAACACGUAUCCAACCUGCCUCAUACUCUGGGAUAGCCUUUCGAAAGAAAGAUUAAUACUGGAUGGCAUAAUUGAACCGCAUGGUUUGAUUAUUAAAGAAUUUCGGUAUGAGAUGGGGAUGCGUUCCAUUAGAUAGUUGGUGAGGUAACGGCUCACCAAGUCUUCGAUGGAUAGGGGUUCUGAGAGGAAGGUCCCCCACAUUGGAACUGAGACACGGUCCAAACUCCUACGGGAGGCAGCAGUGAGGAAUAUUGGUCAAUGGGCGCAGGCCUGAACCAGCCAAGUAGCGUGAAGGAUGAAGGCUCUAUGGGUCGUAAACUUCUUUUAUAGGGGAAUAAAGUGGAGAACGUGUUCUCCUUUGUAUGUACCCUAUGAAUAAGGAUCGGCUAACUCCGUGCCAGCAGCCGCGGUAAUACGGAGGAUCCGAGCGUUAUCCGGAUUUAUUGGGUUUAAAGGGAGCGUAGGUGGAAGCCUAAGUCAGUUGUGAAAGUUUGCGGCUCAACCGUAAAAUUGCAGUUGAUACUGGGUUUCUUGAGUACAGUAGAGGUGGGCGGAAUCGUGG
rnacentral:rRNA from 1 species